CCUACGGGUGGCAGCAGUGGGGAAUAUUCGGCAAUGGGCGCAAGCCUGACCCAGCAACGCCGCGUGAGCGAAGAAGUAUUUCGGUAUGUAAAGCUCUAUCAGCAGGGAAGAAAAUGACGGUACCUGAGUAAGAAGCUUCGGCUAAAUACGUGCAAGCAGCCGCGGUAAUACGUAUGGGGCAAGCGUUAGCCGGUUUUACUGGGCGUAAAGGGAGCGUAGGCGGUCUGCCAAGUCUGAUGUGAAAGCCCGGGGCUCAACCCCAGGAGUGCAUUUGAAACUGGCCGGCUGGAGUGCCGGAGAGGCAGGCGGAAGUCCUAGUGUAGCGGUGAAAUGCGUAGAUAUUAGGAGGAACACCAGUGGCGAAGGCGGCCUGCUGGACGGUGACUGACGCUGAGGCUCGAAAGCGUGGGGAGCAAACAGGAUUAGAUACCCCGGUAGUC
rnacentral:rRNA from 1 species